ACGUAGGGGGCAAGCGUUGUCCGGAAUCAUUGGGCGUAAAGCGCGCGCAGGCGGUCCCUUAAGUCUGAUGUGAAAGCCCACGGCUCAACCGUGGAGGGCCAUUGGAAACUGGGGGGCUUGAGUGCAGGAGAGGAGAGUGGAAUUCCUGGUGUAGCGGUGAAAUGCGUAGAGAUCAGGAGGAACACCGAUGGCGAAGGCAGCUCUCUGGCCUGUAACUGACGCUGAGGCGCGAAAGCGUGGGGAGCAAACAGGA
rnacentral:rRNA from 1 species